AUUGAACGCUGGCGGCAUGCUUUACACAUGCAAGUCGAACGGCAGCGCGGGCUUCGGCCUGGCGGCGAGUGGCGAACGGGUGAGUAAUGCAUCGGAACGUGCCCAGUAGUGGGGGAUAGCCCGGCGAAAGCCGGAUUAAUACCGCAUACGACCUGAGGGUGAAAGCGGGGGACCGAAAGGCCUCGCGCCAUUGGAGCGGCCGAUGUCGGAUUCGCUAGUUGGUGGGGUAAAGGCUUACCAAGGCGACGAACCGUAGCUGGUCUGAGAGGACGACCAGCCACACUGGGACUGAGACACGGCCCAGACUCCUGCGGGAGGCAGCAGUGGGGAAUUUUGGACAAGGGGGGCAACCCUGAUCCAGCCAUGCCGCGUGCGGGAAGAAGGCCUUCGGGUUGUAAACCGCUUUUGUUCGGGAAGAAAUACUCUGGGCUAAUACCCCGGGGGGAUGACGGUACCGGAAGAAUAAGCACCGGCUAACUACGUG
rnacentral:rRNA from 1 species